UUUAAUAUGGCAGAUAAGUGCCUUGAAUUUAAGAUUCAAAUAUAAAGUUUUAAUCUUUUGUUAAAA
rnacentral:tRNA from 1 species